GUGGCUUACAUUGGCGCGAAAACAGUGAAGAGAAGACGCGGAGAGUUUCUCGGUCAAAGUUUGAUUUUAAUGUCGGCUUUUGAAUUUGGAAAACAUGUUUUUCAUAUACUCUUCGUGGUAAACGAGUUAAAUGUCACAUAAAUUGUUUACGUAAGGUUAACUUAGUUGCUGUCUGGCUUGUUUGGCAAAUGAACGUCGGAGCCGUCGCACUCAACAUUGCUCUGCAUAUCGUCAGACAUCUUCCUCAUGGAGUUUUGUGCCAAAUGAGGACGUGAUUGCUGCUGUGCUGUGAAUCUCAAGCACACCUGCAUUAUUAUCAUGGUUGUUUGCUGUCUGAUGCGUCGGAAGCCACGUCACAACGUGCUAAGGUUACCAAAAUUAUUGGAUUGAUUACUUUUGCAUGUUAUCAUCCUGGUGUGCAUAAGGUGUGUUCAAACUGCUUGUCAUUAUGUAUAUGGUAAUUUUGUAAUGUCUUUUGUGUUUAAGGUGAUGGGCAGUUUAAGAUUGCUGUCGUUCAAGAAGUUAAUGACCACUGUUGAGGUUGUGAGCUACAAAUACCCAGAAGAGGCGGCACUUACAUUAGAAUUCAUACAGAAAGUUUUCCUGUGAAGAAAUCCUAAAUGAGGGUUGAUAUGAAGGAAACCAAGUGAUGGGCAGUUCAAGAUUGCUGUCGUUUGAGAAGUUAAUGAACAAAUCAUCUUUCCUGUUGCGGUUGUGAGCUACAAAAUACCCAGAGGAGGCGGCACUUACUCUGUUCAUACAGAAAAUUUUCCUGUGAAGAAAUCCUGAACGUGGUUUGAGAUGAAGGCAACCAAGUGGCUGUGCAUUCCUCCAAGACUCUUGCAUGAACAAUUUCAAAAAUCCAUGUAAUAUUUGAGUUUUUAAAUUGAAAAAAAAUGGCACUUGCAUUAAACAUGCAGUUAAAUGGUAAAUAAUACAUCCCCUAUAAUGAAUUGCAUCACUUCGAUGAUAUUUCUGUUAUAAUGAACUUCAAAAUUCUGUUGUCAAGCCACUGGAGUUACAUACUUUAUACCUUUCUGGACCUUGAAAAUGGUAGUUGCAUAGACAAUCAAUAGAGGGACAGAAAGUACCCAGAUUUAACUAAAAAUACUUAUAAUUUGUGUUCUAAAAAUAAAUGAAGGUCUUAUGGGUUUGGAAUGGUAUGAGUAAUUGACUAAAUUAACAUUUUUUUGUGUGCACUAUCCCUCUAAACAAUAUUGUUUUCUCUUAUAAGAAAAAAAAAGUUUUGAAUCUUGACUGUUUCUCAUUGUGACGUUUAAAUUUUGUGACCACUUUUUAGUACAACACCUGUAUUGUACAGAUGCUCAUGUUUUCUUUUCUUUUUUU